AACGAACGCUGGCGGCAGGCCUAACACAUGCAAGUCGAGCGCGCCCUCCGGGGUGAGCGGCGGACGGGUGAGUAACGCGUGGGAACGUGCCCUUUUCUACGGAAUAGCCUCGGGAAACUGAGAGUAAUACCGUAUACGCCCUUUGGGGGAAAGAUUUAUCGGAAAAGGAUCGGCCCGCGUUGGAUUAGGUUGUUGGUGGGGUAAUGGCCUACCAAGCCGACGAUCCAUAGCUGGUUUGAGAGGAUGAUCAGCCACACUGGGACUGAGACACGGCCCAGACUCCUACGGGAGGCAGCAGUGGGGAAUCUUAGACAAUGGGGGCAACGCUGAUCUAGCCAUGCCGCGUGAGUGAUGAAGGCCGUAGGGUUGUAAAGCUCUUUCAGCUGGGAAGAUAAUGACGGUACCAGAAGAAGAAGCCCCGGCUAACUCCGUG
rnacentral:rRNA from 1 species